AGUUGAAUGAUAUUUCUAGCAGUCUGAAGAGGGAACCUCAGCAUUUGAAAAAAAAAUCUACCUCAUCACUGGUCUGCUCCAACACUGGCAAUCUUAAACACUCAGAAGAGUCCCUGAUGACCUGGCUUUCUCAUUGUGGCUUCAGUGCAAUAGAAGAAUGUACUCUCUUGUGAAUCACUGGCCAUGGGACCUCACUCCUUAGAGACAUCUGUCCACUGAGACCUCACUUUACUGUUGCAGUGACUAAGUAGGAAAUAGGAACCUCAAGGACUGGAUUUUGCCUGAUUUGAUCCAUAAUUUUCUCCAACAGUACCAUAGGAGCAGUCUUUCUCCCUCCAUAAUCUGAUGGUCAAGAUCCUUAGUCUCACUGAAGCAUACCUGAGUGGGGAAAGAGAAACCCCAUGGUAAUAAUCUCUGGCAUGCUUAUUUCCUUGGGGAUGUUGUUUUCACCAAAGGAGGGCACUGUAAUUAAGACUAGAAGUUACGUUUUGGGAGAGAAGAGAGUCUGGAAAAGUCAGAGAAGAGAGGAGAAUCAGAGAAGUGACAGAGAUGGAGGAACGGAUGUUAGCAAGCAAUUGGAUGAAAAGCAUGAGGGAGGCAAAGUGAACGAUCUUAUCACUGCUGGAAUAAAUGCCUUCCACAACCCACAAUGGUACUUCACAUUCUUUUAAUGUCUAGUAAGUGUCUGUAAUAUGUACAGGAAAUGGAGAGUUAUUUCGCCUGCGGAGACUGGGGCACAUACAAAGAACAGAUGUCUGAUCAUCCUAUGUGAUUUUUCC
ensembl:lncRNA